rnacentral:SRP_RNA from 1 species
GCCGGGUGUGGUGGCACGCGCUUGUAAUCCCAGCUACUUGGGAGGCUGAGGCAGGAGAAUCGCUUGAACCCGGGAGGUGGAAGUUGCAGUGAGCCAAGAUUGCACCACUGCACUUCAGCCUGGGUGACAGAGUGAGACUCUGCCUCAA